ACGAACGCUGGCGGCGUGCUUAACACAUGCAAGUCGAGCGGUAAGGCCCUUUCGGGGUACGACGAGCGGCGAACGGGUGAGUAACACGUGGGUGACCUGCCCUCAGCUCUGGGAUAAGCCUGGGAAACCGGGUCUAAUACCGGAUAUGACUCCAUGACGCAUGUUGUGGGGUGGAAAGCCUUGUGCGGCUGAGGAUGGGCCCGCGGCCUAUCAGCUUGUUGGUGGGGUGAUGGCCUACCAAGGCGACGACGGGUAGCCGGCCUGAGAGGGCGACCGGCCACACUGGGACUGAGACACGGCCCAGACUCCUACGGGAGGCAGCAGUGGGGAAUCUUGCGCAAUGGGCGAAAGCCUGACGCAGCGACGCCGCGUGAGGAUGACGG
rnacentral:rRNA from 1 species